rnacentral:lncRNA from 1 species
ACAGAAGCACGGGUACUACUGGCAGUAGCAGGGCAACAUAAUAGUGGCAUAUGACCUAGGAGCCAAGUACAUGAACUCUAGGGUGCAGGGAGGAUUAAAAUUAGGAAAUAAUUAAUGCUGGGGCAUGAUCACAAGCCCUUAGGGAUAUAACCAGCACCACAUGGCCAAUAGCAAGUCCAGGUGUAUGGAUUAAACUCUAAGCAGAGGACAUAUAGACCCAAAUCCAUUAAGCCAAGCACUAGCAGGACUAAGAUCAUAUAACCGGUGCCUCCAGGAACCUAGAAGAGUACCAUCUAUCCACAGACAGGAAUAGGAUCUCGGUGUGGCCUGCAGCACCGCCUCGUCGAUGGAGACCAUUUUUAGUCUCUUCACCGGAAUGAUGAACCUCCUCAGCUUCCUUCUCACUGGCCUCACUGGUCUCGGUGAUGAGCGCCAUUUCAUUUCAGUCUCUUCACUGGAGUGAUGAAUCUUCCUGGCUUCCUCGAUUUCUGUCUUUCACUGGACCUGUGAAUCUUGUCAGCUUCCUCAACGAGCACCACUUCUUCAGUCUCUUCACUGGACUGAUGAAUCCCCCCAACUUCCACGGGCAAUGGCAUCAUUUGAGUCUCUUGAGUGGACUGAGGAUCCUUGGCUAACCCUGCAAUUUGAGAGAGGCAGACACAUAGAUAAUUUGGCUACAGAAAAUGUGGGAGAAGAAGCAUGGAUUUCAAGUUGCUCUCCACCUGGUCUCGCCUCGUGUCUUCCUGGGCCCACUCCUCAGCGAGCUUGUUCCGCCCCUCGUUCAGAGACCCCGGUUCCAAAGUCCAAACUGAGGUGCGUUGAG